UUAAUUGAAGCCAAAAUAUGAGGCUUAUUAUUGUUAAUAAUAAAAUUGAAUAAAUUAAUUCCAAUUAAA
rnacentral:tRNA from 1 species